AUACAUACCUGGCAGGGAAAAUGCCAUGAACAUGAAGGUGGCUUUCCCAGGUAAGGCUGAUCCAUUGCGCUCCUACUGAAGCAGACUAGAUAGAAAAUCAAUAGACAGAUCUGGCUUCUGGCAGAGUCCAUGUGGACAUCAGUGUCCCCACGAU
rnacentral:snRNA from 1 species